CAAAUGUCUUUAAAGGGGAAACAGUACAAAAGAGGAGUGCUUAAGGUGUGUUAGUGCAGGGCACUGACCGAGCAGCUGAGGCCAGGAGCAGCACCCUGCCUGCCUGAUGCUGCCAAGGCGCAAAAGCGCCAGUUCUCUCCGCCCCUCCCACACACCUACGCGUUACCUACUGACCUCCACGGGCCUCUCUGAUUAAGGAGUUCCCACGAGCCCUGGCCCCCCAAGUGACAGUGGAUGUCUGUAAAGUGGAUGCCCGAAGUAUCCGUCUGAGCAAGGAGGCACGGCGUAGAGAUGGCCAGUGGGCCACUCCCCACCAUGUAUCAGGGCCCCAAGGAAUAAAUCUCCAAGGACUCCUUGGCGUGGCCACUUCAGGACCCUUUCCUGCAGAGCAUGAAGCAAAUCCAAGUGCUGCUGGACAAGAUCCAGACCUGACUCCCAGAAGCAACUUCUUUGUGAAGGUGAAAGUAUUAAGCGUUCAACUUCUUCCCUGUUCCUUACUAGGAGUGAAAUUACGGCAAUGUAAAACCUGACAUUCAUUUCACUGGUUCGAGAAGACAUGGCAAACUCAGGUGUGAGUGUCAGAUUGUAGUUAUGGUGAGUACACCAAGUGCCUGUGGCACUCCUGGAAAAGAAAGUACAGAAAAAGGAGGGAGAAUGUGCCAAAGACAAUGCCAUUUUUGGACAUUGUCCUCCUUGGCCCUGAUGAUGAGAGAAGUGAAGGAAGGGAGAAAUAAUGGGAGAGAAACAUCAAUGUUAGAGAGAAAUAUGGAUCGAUUGCUUCUUGCAUGCACCCCGACCAAGGGCUGAACCUAUAGCCUAGGUGUGUCCCCUGCCUGGGAAUUGAACUGAUGAAUGUUUGCUUUGAGGGACGACAUGCAACCAACUGAGCCACACUGCAUAUUCUUCAGCCUUGCACCUUCAUUGCCCCUGGAUCAGGCCACCCCCUCUUCCCUGGACCUGUCGAUUGAAAUCAAGAGUAACAGACAGCAAGUAGAACUGACGAAGUAGCUGGACUUACUUUAUGUGUUGACUUGAAAAAACUUGAAAUGAACACAGCUAUUAAAGGAGACUUACAGUGAGGUUCACAUACUUUUAGAAGAGUGAAAACAUUGAGUAAAUAUUUAGCUUAAAACUUAAAGGUAAAUAUUUUGUGAAUAACUAUAAAAUUCAUUAAUUAUUAUACUAAUUUUUAAUGUGGUGCAUUCUUAUUUGGAUCAAAUCAAUUAAUUUAGACCCAUGGAUUUUAUUCACAGGUUAUAG